GGCGUAGCUCAAUGGCAGAGCACCUGUUUUGUAAACAGGUGGUUGUGGGUUCAACUCCCACCGCU
rnacentral:tRNA from 1 species